AGAGAGAUGAUGAUGAUGAUGCAGCGAGAGAGAAGAGGGAGUGAUCAGUCGGAUGAAGAGGAGGAGAGAAGCAAUAAUAAGCCGCAAUGGAAAAGGUUUAUGGGGUUGCUUAGAAAUGACUCGCUAACUGGAAUUGGGGGAGAGAUUGUUAGAGAUGGAAUUGGAAGCAGCACCACAGGACCUUCGGCUUCUCACCAUGGCUUUAUCAUU
rnacentral:misc_RNA from 1 species